UCAAACUCCUGACCUCAAGUGAUUCAGCCGCCUCGCCUCCCAAAGUGCUGGGAUUACAGGUGUGAGGCACCACAUCCGACCUCUGCUCUUCCUCAAAGGCCACCAAAUCAUGCCAGCUAACUGUGCAAAGAUGUUAGCCUGAUAGUCAAAGCUCUUCCCAGACUCUUAUAAACAUAGAAGAACAUAGCGGUUAAGAACAUGAGCUCUGCAGCAGGAUUACACGGAUUCCAAUCUCAGCUCAGCCACAUACUAGCUGUGUGAUGUUGGAUGAGAACAUUGAGGCCUAGGGCAUUUCAAUAGCUUGCCAAAGGGCUCAUCAUUCUCGGGUAACAGGAUGAGGCCAGACACCAAGGAUCCCUGGAUCCAUGCCCUACUCUCCACACUUGUCUUGGGUCUAUGAAGCCCCCAGUCCCAAGGUAAGUCAUGUCAUUGUGGAAAUUAAUUGCAACCUUUCAUGAUUGUCCGAUCCCAUCUAUGGGUUUCAAGGAAGAUUAUGAAGUCCUUAGAACCACAAUGUGUCUAAUUUUUAUUCUGUAUUUUAUUUAUUUUUAAAUGUCUGAGAUGCUGAGAACCUGAGAUAUCACUCAUCUCAUCUUCCUGAAUUUUAUGAACUAAGAAGCGAAAGCUCACCCAAAGCCAUUUAUAGAGUCUAUGGAAAAAGAAGGACUAGACCCUGGAUUCCGUGAUUUACAGGUUUUUCUUCUCCUAAUUUUCAAUCCACUCCAAAACAUGCAGAGAGAUGACCUUAGCAAAGAUGUUUAUUAGUAGAUAUAAAGGGUGGCUGGUGCCAUUCUUCCAAAAGGAAAGCUGUCAUCUUUACUCACUCAGUCCUCAGCAAACUAUCUGAGCACUAUUUUUGUGCCUCAUCUGGGAGCUGGGGAGUCAGUGAUGGGCAAGAUAUGGUCUUUACUUGCAAAAUUCCCAUAGCACAUUGGAGAAGAAAAAACAGCAAUCAGGUAUGUGCGCUACAGGGGGGUGCAUGCUGCAACCACCAGCAUCAACAACAACAUGCAUUGAAUGCUUCAUGUAUAUCAAGUGCUCUCUCUCCUAAGAGAUAUGAAUGCAUUAACCCCAUUUACUCCUCAAGACUAGAAACAAACACUUUAUAAUUUGCUACGGACUGAAAAUUUGUGUCCCCCUAAAAUGUAUAUGUGGAAGUCUUAAUCCCCAAUGUGAUGAUAUUUGGAGGCGGGGCCUUGGGACAUAAUUGGGGUAGGGUGAGGUCAUGAGGGUGAAAACCCCAUACUGGGAUUGGUGCCCUUAGAAAGGUAUAAAGGGACUGGAGCAUGCAGUUUCUCUCUCUCUCUCUCUCUGUUUCUCUCUCUCUCUCUCUCCCUCCGCCGUAUGAGCACGCAGCAAGAAAGCGGCUGUGUGGCAACCAGGAAGACAGCCUUUAUCAGAAUCCAGCCAUAUUGGUGCCCUGAUCUCAGACUUUCCAGCCUCCAGAACUGUAAGAAAUAGAUGUUCACUGUUUAAGUGCCCCAGUCUAUGGUAUUCUAUGAUAGCAGCCCAAACUGACUAAGACAUCAUUUCUUUUAUCAGAUGAGGAAACCAAUACAUAGAAAGACUUUUAAAUUUUCCCUAAACAAUGGAAGUACAUGCUAAGUGCAAUAGGGGUAUGUAGAAAAGAGUGUUCAGAUUUUAGGGAGAUUUCCAGAAAAGGCCUCUUCAUGCUGGAGAUGGCUUUUUUUAAAUAAUGGAAGGGAGUUCCCAAGGCAAUGGUUGAGCAGUGGAGUGGGAGCCCAGGUAAGAGUAUGCAGGUGGUAGAAACAAAAUAUUCUAAGACAGACGGGCACAAAACAGCAUGGCUUAUUUGGGGAACUACAAGUACCUCUAUGUUGCUGAUGCCUGAUGUUCUAGAGGACACAUUUCAAGGCAGGAACAAGCUGAGGGCAUAUCUCAACCUCCCCUUCCUCAGGGGCACUCAUCCUUCAUCCCUUUAGCAGUUUUACUCAGCAUUUGUUCUAGGAUGCCAGGCUGUGAGGUAAGACAGGUAAGUGAGACUCAGCCUCUACCCUCAGAGUUCACAAUCUAAUGGGAAAACUAAAUUAUCAUAAAGAUAGCAUUACAAAUGCAGUGCUUGACAUAUGCCUGGAGCACUAUGAGACUGUAGGUGAGAAGCAACGAAAAGAGGACAAUCCGGAGAAGGUAGCAGCUGUGCUGUCUCUUAAAGUCUGACCAGGUAGUCCAGGUGUUCCCUGUGUUUGAGGUCAAGGGGCAGCAGGAGAAGAUGCAACAGAAAAGCACACAGCACGAGCAAAGCCACAUAGCUGAAAAACAGCUAUCACCUGCAACAGCUUCUGCUGCUACAAUACCUGUACUCCUCUUAGAUUUUAUUCCAGUAUCAGCCAACAACGUGAUCUGACAGGACAGUCCCAGCCCUAGGAAAUGAACUAUGAUUCGUGCAGACCGAUCGAAGUCAUACCAUACAGCGAUGGAUUUGGGCAUGUGGGCCAGUUGGGAUCAAGGGAAAGGAAGCAUUUCCAUUUUGAUCAAUGGGGGGAUUCUGGGAAAGUCUUCUGCCCGUAAAAAGAAACAAGCCAGGAAAAACGUCCCCUUCCUCCCUGUAGACAUGGCUAUGAACGGCAGGAUGCCUGAAACUGUCCAGGCUUGUUAUGAUGGAGAGACACACUGCACAGGGUGGGGGAAAGGGGAAAUAUACCCUAAGAAUGGUAGACCAGAAAGAUGUAAAGCAUCUGUAUCCUUGUUGAAAUUAUAGUGCCUCCCAAUUAACAUACCUAGAACUGUUUACCUCUGGACAUUUCAUUAUGUGAGAUAUUAAAGACCUGUGUA
rnacentral:lncRNA from 1 species